rnacentral:misc_RNA from 1 species
GCAAACUUGGUCAUUUAGAGGAAGUAAAAGUCGUAACAAGGUCUCCGUUGGUGAACCAGCGGAGGGAUCAUUAUUAGAGUUAAAAAACUCCCUAAACCCACUGUAUACAUACCUAUCGUGUGCUUCGGCAGGCGGUCCCAGGGCGGGACCUCUGGCCUCUUGCGAGGUGCCUGCCGGAGGAAUACCAAAACUCGUCAAUGAUUAUCAUCAGUCUAAAAAAUAAAGAAUCAAAACUUUCAACAACGGAUCUCUUGGUUCUGGCAUCGAUGAAGAACGCAGC